AACAAUGAAAGACGACGCGUUUGGAGAGUACAGAUCUCUGGAGAGUGAUAAUGAGAAGUGCUCCAUCAGUCAGCCAUCUGUCUGCGAGAGCAAACGCAGCAGUAACGACAGUCUGGCCGACUACGGAGACAGCGUUGACAUCCAGUUCAACGAGGACGGCUCCUUCAUCGGCCAGUACAGCGGACGCAAGGA